CCUACGGGGGGCAGCAGUGAGGAAUAUUGGUCAAUGGACGAGAGUCUGAACCAGCCAAGUAGCGUGAAGGAUGACUGCCCUAUGGGUUGUAAACUUCUUUUAUAUGGGAAUAAAAUGUUCCACGUGUGGGAUUUUGUAUGUACCAUAUGAAUAAGGAUCGGCUAACUCCGUGCCAGCAGCCGCGGUAAUACGGAGGAUCCGAGCGUUAUCCGGAUUUAUUGGGUUUAAAGGGUGCGUAGGGGGAUUGUUAAGUCAGUUGUGAAAGUUUGCGGCUCAACCGUAAAAUUGCGGUUGAAACUGGCAGUCUUGAGUACAGUAGAGGUGGGCGGAAUUCGUGGUGUAGCGGUGAAAUGCUUAGAUAUCACGAAGAACUCCGAUUGCGAAGGCAGUUCACUGGACUGCAACUGACACUGAGGCUCGAAAGUGUGGGUAUCAAACAGGAUUAGAUACCCUAGUAGUC
rnacentral:rRNA from 1 species